GGAGAAAUUUCGGACAGAUUCAAUGAUUUAUGUAAUCAAAACAAAAGCUAUGAUGAAAUUGAAGAAAAUGGAACAAUUUGUAUAUGUCACUCCUUUUCCUUUUAUCUCUUUUCGGUAUUCUUGAUCAAUAUUUUCUCCUCAAGUUUUCCACAUAAUAUCUCAUAAUUUAGGUUUUAUAACUCUAUUUUUAGAAUUUUAUAUUAUUUUUUGUCGAAUCCCGGCACCCGUAUCCGUAUUGGGAUUCUUACCCGCGAAUCUUAAAAUUUAGAUCAUGACGAAUCCGACCUCUAGAUCCGUACCCGUAUCCGACCCCACACCCUAGUCCGAGCAACAUAGGCCAUGAUGAAGUCUUUUUUCUAAUCAAUUUAUUAAUUUACGCCUUGCAUUUUGAAAAGAAUUUGCUCUCUUUGUGAUUUUCACUAUUUAAACCAGCAGAGAGCGCUUGGCCAGGUUCAUAGAGAAUUUGACCUUCUAACUGAUUUCUUUCAAUCUUCAGUUAGCAUAAGAGAAAGCCAUUCUCGUUAACUCCAUAGUCAUCUCUCUCAAUACUACUGUACAGUAAUGGAUAGUGAGAUGAUGAAGGCGGUUCCAGGCACUGACUUUGAAACCUUUCUCUCCGAUCUAAUGGAGGAACGAUCGGAGGAUGAGUCCAUGUUGGACAUGAUGAAGCAGAAUGAUCUCGACGCCCUUGCUCUUAAAAGUGUUAGCUUUCUCAGCUCUUCCCAUGACGACAUGCAUUCUCUUGAGAAGUGGGCUUACCUCCUUUCCAGGUUGCUUAAGGUUGAUGAUGACUUAUGCACUUGGCGCAAUCUAAGCACCUCCACUCAAUCUGCCAUCAAAUCUUUUCUUCUUAAUCCUAUCAACAAUUUUGAAGAAUCACAAUUCAUCAGCAAAGUGCACCGUUAUACCAUUUACAGGCUGGCUGCUUCACUUCUCCCAGACAACAGCUGGCCUGAACUUUUGCCAUUCUUGCCUUCUGCAAAGACUUUGCAUUCACUAUUCCGUAAUACACUGAAUGAUGAUACCGUUGAUCUAAAUGUGAGGAUCGUAGCCAUGAAGGCUGUGAUCAGAUUCAUUCAGCGUAUGUCAAGUUCAAAUGAAAAGGAGCGCUUUGAGGAUUUGUUGCCAGGGAUGAUGAAGACGUUGACUGAUGCAUAUCUGAGCAAAGGCGAGGAGGAUCAGGUUGCAGACGAGCAACCCCUGGCACUUUUUAUAGAGUUGGCCAAGAAUGAGCCUAGGUUCUUCAGAAGGCAGCUAGUGGAUGUUGUAGCCACCAUGUUCGAUAUAGCAGAGGACAAGGGUUUGAAAGAGGAGACAACGAACUUGGCAGUUGAGUUCUUGAUGACUUUGGUUGAGGCGAAGAAUAGGGCCCCAGGCAUGAUUAAGAGGGUGCCCUUGUUUAUUAGCAGAUGUUUCGCUAUGUUAUUGAAGUUAUUACUAUAUAUUAAGGAUGACCCUGCUUGGCAUAGUGCUCUUGACGCGUCUGAUGAUACAGGAGCAACAAGUUACUACUCUAAGGGUAAGAAGUGUUUAGACCGGUUUUCUCUUGCAUUAGGAGGUAAGUCUAUUGCUCAUGUUGCCAUAGAGCAACUGUCUGCUUACUCGGCUGCGCCAGAAUGGGAGAAGCGCCAUGCAGCUCUCAUUGCACUUGGUCAGAUUGCUGAAGGUUGCUCAAAGGUGAUGAUUAAGAACUUGGACCAGGUGAUGGCUAUGGUUCUCAAUUGUUUCCAAGAUCCUCAUCCUCGAGUUAAAUGUGCAGCUUGCUAUGCAGUUUGCCGGUUGUUGGUUGACUUCUCCCCACAUUUGCAAGAAAAAUACCAUAACCAAGUACUUCUUGCAUUAGCUGCAGCAAUGGAUGAUUUUCAUCCACGAGUGCAGGCACAUGCCGCAGCAGCUCUCUGCCACUUCCGAGUGCCCGGCAAGCCAGAAACUUUGAUACAUCGUCUAGAUGGAUUAGUUAACAAACUGCUUGUACAUCUAAAGAAUGGUAAACAAAUUGUCCAACAAGAAGCAUUAAAAGCAUUGGCUUUUAUAUCUGGAUCUGUUGAGGGGCACUUCCGAACCUGCUAUGAUGCUGUUAUGCCACACUUGAAAACUCUCCUGAGAAACGCAGAUUUUCAAUCUAAUCUCAUUGUUCUUUCAUGUGCAAUGGAGUGCAUAAGCUGUGUUGUGAUGGCUGUUGGCAAAGAGAAAUUUAGAGAUGACGAAAAGCAGGUUAUGGAAAUGCUUAUGUCAUUACAAGCGAAGGUGGAUGAUCCUACUACUACCAAAUACCUGCUACAUGCAUGUUGUAGAAUUUGCGAGUGCAUGGGAAAGGAUUUUCUUCCCUAUAUGAAUGUAGUCAUGCCCUUCUUACUUCAAUGUGCUCAACUUAAUACCAUCUCUAUGGAGCAGUACAAUGAAAACUAUAAAGUAGAUGCUAAUAGUAAAGAGACACUAGAGAUGAAAGCUAAAGCCUGUAGAUUGCUAUGUUGGUAUGCUGAAACAUUGAAGGAAAACUUUUACCCAUGGAUUUCCCAGGCUGUUUCAAUCCUUGUUCCGCUUCAGAAAUUCUAUACCCACAGACUUGUCAGGGAAUCUGCUGUUGAAGGCCUACACUUCCUGUUGUGUUCUGCUAAACUGGCUGUUGAGAAAGGGGUUGCUCAAGAGGAAAGUGAGUCGUAUUUCACGAAGUUGUCAAACCAUAUAAUACUGGCUUUGGUUGAAGCUUUGCAUAAGGAGUUUGAGACAGAAAUGUGUGUAGUCAUGUUGAGAGAAUUGAAUGGUUGUCUGCAGAUUUGUGAAUCACUUCUCACUGAAGGACAGGCUCGUAGCAUCGUGGAUGAGAUAAAGCAUGUCAUUACAGACAGUUCAAGUAGAAAACAAGAACUCAAAGAGAGAGAGAAAAUGGAAGAUUUCGAUGCUGAGGAAGCUGAAUUGUUGACAGGAGAAAGCGAGCAAGAAGAAAAAGUUUUCGAGAAUGCCCGCUAUAUAUUGCGCACAUUGAUCAGAACUUUCAAGUCUUCUUUCUUGCCUUUCCUUGAUGUGUUGUCAUCAUAUUUAUUACCUAUGUGGGCCAAGGAGAAAACAACUACUGAGAGAAGCUCAUCUAUUUGUAUCUUUGAUAAUCUUAUGGAGGAGUGCCCUGAAGCAGCUCUAAAGUACUAUGAUUCAGGUCUUCCUUUAAUUUUGGAUGCGAGCAAUGACGAAGACCCGGAUGUUAGACAGGCUGCUCUUUAUGGACUUGGGCUUUGGGCCGAACAUGGUCGUUCUUCUUUCAAACCUUUUGUUGGAGCGGCUCUGUCAAGGAUCAAUGUAGUGAUAAUGCACUUACGUGCUCGUGAACAUGAGAAUGAAAGAGCAUAUGAUAAUGCUGUUUCUGCACUUGGUAAGAUAUGUCAGUUCCAUUGGGAAAGUUUCGACUCAGCCGAGGCUAUUCCAGCUUGGUUGAAUUGCCUGCCUAUAAAAGCGGACUUGGAAGAAGCAAAAGAUGUUCAUAAACAGUUGUGUUCAAUGAUCGAAAGAUUUCUCACUCGCAGGUCAUACAGAGAACUUUUGGGUCCCAACUAUCAAUACCUUCCAAAAGUUGUUUCAGUUUUCAUAGAGGUUCUAUGUGCUGGAGAGGUUCUUGCCACAGAAGACACUGCAAAACGUAUGACUAAUCUUUUGAGGCAUUUUCAGCACACACUUCCACCAGCCACGUGGGAGUCGGCACAGUCCUUGUUAUUGCCUCAACAGGAGAUGAAGUUGGAAUCCAUUGUAUCACCUGAGGAUUAACAUUUCAAUCGAUGCAAUGAAGUUACUAAUAUUGUGAACUUGUGGGAGUCAAACAUUUUGAUGCGAAAUUGCUGAAGGUGGAAAAAGGACAAGAAGAUCAGUAAUACAUUUAGCAGUGUACAGCCACAUUUAUCGUGUUAGAGUUUGUAUUUUGAAUGUGGCAAAUACAUUUAGCAGUGUAGUCAUUCUUGACUUACUAAUAUGAAGCUGAUGAAAUGUAGCAUUCAGCAAAAAUCAAUUCCUGGUCGGAUACUUUACUGUUGUACUUCAGAAAUUGUAGAAGAAGUCUACAUCCGAAAUUUCAAGUCAUUUAGGCUUAAUUUGAAGAUUCUUAACAUCGCUGGGUUGAAGAACUUGAAAUUGGGUCUUGAGAUUUGGUAGUUGUUUGGUUCCAGUUUGUAUUGGGCUUUGUUCUCUGACUUGAGAAAAAGUUAAAUCUGAGUUUGGGACCAUUUUGACUGGAUUUGAAGAAGUUCAAAAUUUGAAUGUUCAUAAUGUUCUUAGUGUCCUUCAUAUCUUGUUGAAGAAGAAGAUAGAAAAGGUACAAGUUUGAUCCAAGUUUGGGACAGGUGUUUUUAUGUCCAAAAUGGGUAAAUACUAAGUGAAGUGGGUCCAAGGAAAUCACAAAAUCAGAUUUUCAGCUCAAAUUUCCUCGAAAAAAGAAUCAAAAAAUUGCAGCAGCUGAAGCCACCUACAGUUGACAUACGGACCGUACUCUAAGUAGGGGGUUCACCACUUCCCUCACUGGAUAAGACUUACGGUACACAGGCGGGCUUACAUUCCAUAUACGGUCCGUAAAAGAAGACUUUCACCGUAUCAGGUACCGUAAAUUCAACUUGCAGUCAAAUGGCUUUUUAUCAAAUUUUCUCACUUGUAGGUUUGACAGAGAACUUUUAGGUCCCAACUAUCAAUGCCUUACAAAAGUAUUUCAGUUUUUGCAGAGGUCAGUGUGAAAUCAAAACUAUUAGAUGCUAGAUUGAGUUGUUCAUUUGUGAUGGAUAUGAAGAUUUUGCCACUGUGAUUCUUUUACUUAUUCUUGUAAGGAAAGUAUGAUGAGGAUAUGAAAUGAGCUUAAAUGAAGAAGUGGGAUUCAUAUAGCCGAUCCCAACUUGUUUGGGACUGAGCAAUAGUCGUUGUCUCUAUAGCUGACAAAUAUCUAAUCAUAAACAACACUACCACCAGACACUGUGGAAUCAGCAUGGUCGUAUCUUUUAUCUCAGCUGGAGAUGGAACUGAAAUCCAUUCUAUCACUUGAAGAAGUUGCUAACUUUUAACCAAUUCAAUGAAACUACUACUACUGUAAUUAUUGUUGGAUCAAACAUUUUGACGGUUGAUAUUCCUCCAAUGUAAUUUCCCAAUAAUUCUCUUUCCAGCUUGGUUGAACUGCCUGCCAACAAAAGCUGACUUGAUUGAAGCCAAAAAAAUGUUACAGGGGGUAGCAAUGAAUUCAAUAUAUGUACUGGCCAUUGCAAAUAUGAUGAACUGUAGAAAACCAUUAGUUCUUAAUGUGGACAACUCUUUUAUGCCGCA